rnacentral:rRNA from 1 species
AGGACGAACGCUGGCGGCGUGCUUAACACAUGCAAGUCGAACGGUGAAAGGGAGCUUGCUCCCUGGAUCAGUGGCGAACGGGUGAGUAACACGUGGGCAACCUGCCCCUGACACUGGGAUAACUCCGGGAAACCGGGGCUAAUACCGGAUAUGACGCGACUCGGCAUCUUGUCGCGUGGAAAGUUUUUCGGUCAGGGAUGGGCCUGCGGCCUAUCAGCUUGUUGGUGAGGUAACGGCCCACCAAGGCGACGACGGGUAGCCGGCCUGAGAGGGUGACCGGCCACACUGGGACUGAGACACGGCCCAGACUCCUACGGGAGGCAGCAGUGGGGAAUAUUGCACAAUGGGCGAAAGCCUGAUGCAGCGACGCCGCGUGAGGGAUGACGGCCUUCGGGUUGUAAACCUCUUUCAGUAGGGAAGAAGCGAAAGUGACGGUACCUGCAGAAGAAGCGCCGGCUAACUACGUGCCAGCAGCCGC